UCUCCUGCUGGGCAGACGACGCCUGCAGGCUGACGGCUUUUGUCAGCGGCCCAACGGCGUCGUCACCAUCACCUUGCGUCCGUCCAUCCGGAACAGUGCACUAGAGCAGUUGAACAGUGCGGGGUUCCUAACCACACAGCCUAGCGCUGCGAACCACAACUAGCGAACUAGCCUUAUCAUUUCCGUUAGAUGUUUGGAUCAAUAAUGACCGCAAAUUCAUAGCUGUUACUGCAGCUGACCCUGGAGGCCUGGACGCCCCAUGUCUUGGAAAACCGUGCACGCUUUGUAUAUAAUCACAUGAAGCCCCCGCGUCCUGCUAGACCCUUCUCACAGCGCCAGAUUUUGAAGCUUGCAGCAGAUCGAGAUAUUCGAGUUGGGUCGCCAGCUAGGAUGUUACACUUAAUCUCGCGAGGACUCAGUCUCCUGCCACGCGUUGCAUCCGCAUCUGAAGUCUACGCCGCGUCACCGCCGCAAUCCUUUCGCCCUACUCCGACGCGGUGUCCAAGUGCCGUCCUCUUCCGGCCUCCGAUGCGGUGUGGCGGCUCCUCCUUUGGCCGCAGCUUUUCCCCUCCCCUCGGUCCCCUCCUCCCCUACGCCUCUCGGCUGCCCCUGUGCGGUGCGGCAGCUCGUCCUUUGUCCAUGGCCACAACUUGUCCCCUCCCCUCCGUCCCCUAUGCAUCUCGGCUGCUGGCACCUACGCAGUCUCCGGCACAGGAUCACGAUACCCUGAGUUUCUUUAUGGAAGAUGUAUGAGAGAGAUGAAGUAUUUCUUUCCUGCUGGACAUUGCUUUGCUGCUAUAUUCAUUGGAAGAAUCUGCUAUGUUGAUGGGAGAGGCUGAGUUUGAUUUAUGUUGUGUGCCAAGUUCUGGACCUAGUUCCUUGUCUUUUGAUAUAUGUAAUGAACCUACUUGAUUUUGCUGAAAGUAUGAAUGUAAUAAUAGUAAAAAAGAAGUAGAUGUUCUGAAAGUUUGUAGUUUC